CUGCGCCUGCAGGCCCACCAGCCAGGGUGGCGUGGAGACGGGGCAGGUGCGCGAGCCCGCACAUGGCGGCGGCUGAAGCCGCUGGGCAACUGCCCAGCGCCCGCGAGGCGGACGAGCGCGUCCACGCUCUACGCACUGGUGGUUGGGCCGCCGUGGGCGCUGCGCGCUGGGCUACAGACGCUGCCAGGUGGGCCCCGCGCAGGGAAGUGGCUGGCCGCGCGCAAGCUCGCAGCCGGAGCUGGGCCGCGGACACAGAAACAGAUCAAGGCCGGCGCGCGGGACGUGUCAACGCUGGGCCGGAAUGCACAACCAUGGUAA
rnacentral:misc_RNA from 1 species